rnacentral:rRNA from 1 species
CCGCCGCGCGCGGCGGGCGGGGCGGGGGCACGGGGGGAACGCGAAGAACCUUACCUACUCUUGACAUCCAGAGAACUUUCCAGAGAUGGAUUGGUGCCUUCGGGAACUCUGAGACAGGUGCUGCAUGGCUGUCGUCAGCUCGUGUUGUGAAAUGUUGGGUUAAGUCCCGCAACGAGCGCAACCCUUAUCCUUUGUUGCCAGCGGUUCGGCCGGGAACUCAAAGGAGACUGCCAGUGAUAAACUGGAGGAAGGUGGGGAUGACGUCAAGUCAUCAUGGCCCUUACGAGUAGGGCUACACACGUGCUACAAUGGCGCAUACAAAGAGAAGCGACCUCGCGAGAGCAAGCGGACCUCAUAAAGUGCGUCGUAGUCCGGAUUGGAGUCUGCAACUCGACUCCAUGAAGUCGGAAUCGCUAGUAAUCGUAGAUCAGAAUGCUACGGUGAAUACGUUCCCGGGUCUUGUACACACCGA